GGCGAUUUUCUGGUGAUGCACCCUGGAAUCGGGCUCCAUCCUCUCUGGUUCUGGGGUGGGUCACCCGAGAACUGCC
rfam:Myotis davidii contig186456, whole genome shotgun sequence.